UAUUUGGUGUAGGAUUCCUCUUCCUGGCUGUAAUAAUAGUCCUUUCCCGCGAAAUGAGCUGAGCGUUUCCGUGUGAGAGCGAGAGCGAGAGCGAGAGCAAGGUGUGAUCGAAAGCUCCUGGAGCAACAUGGCUGCUGUUUACUCGGAGAAACAGACCAGGUUACGAAGAAACGUUACGAACGUGUCGUUGGAACAUGUUAAAGGCUCGUCUCCGGAGAACAGAGCAGAUUUAGCGAGCUGUGAUGGAGACAUAAGUGUAAAAAGCAGCAGUCCUGCACCGGAGGAGGCCCGAGAUCAUGUACAAGUUGCGGCAUUGAACGCUGCAGUUCCUCAGAUCAGGAUAAAAGAAGAACCUGUCGAAGAACCUGACUACAUGACCGUCCGUGUGGACGAUGUCGGGGUGGGAAACUGGGAGCAGCCCGGAAGAGAAGCAGAUUACUCGGGCAGAGGUGAAUGUACUGAUGGAGAUUGGCCAUUUUGCUGUGAAGAAAAGAGCACUGCAUCUGGAAACAAGGAGGGAUACACAGAGCAUCGACGGGAGCACACUCACGACGGCCCCAUAGUCUGUCUGGACACUGACUCCCAGUGGGACAACCUGCUUGUCUCCACUGACGGAGGUCAUCAAACCUUGUGCUGUGCACUGUGCGGUUGCAAAUUUUCAAACUCAAGAGAGUUUUUUACUCACCAGCUGAAACACCGUAAUGAUAUCAUUAAACAGGAAUCCAUUUUAGAGACUGGGGAGGGUUUAUCAAAACAGAAAGUCUUUGAGUGCAAUGACUGUGGUAAGACAUAUUCAUCAAUUGGCCAAUGCCUUAAUCAUCAGCGUUCACACAAACAGGCCUCAAAAUCGGUUUUUCAUCAGUUAGCCCAUUUGAAGAAAAAGUCUUUCCAGUGUCCCACCUGUGGCCGCUCUUACUCUCGCGCGUCAGCUCUUGAUGCACAUCGUCGUUGCCAUGAGGAGAAGCUGUUUAAGUCAAAAAACAGUGAAGGGGAGAAAUACGUCGCUGAUGAGGUUUCAGUUAAAACAGAGGACGCUGCUGACACAAGUUCUGAACAGUUAGAAGAGUCUCAGAAAAAACUUUUUGAGUGCUUGGACUGCGGGAAAUCGUUUCGCACUAUGUGUGGCCUCGGGACACACCAGAGAUUCUCUGUCAACUGUUCAAGCACUACAGUUAAGGUGCGUGUAAAGCGUUCGUUCGACUGCACCGAAUGUGGGAAGACUUUUCACCGUCCCAUGGCAAUGGCAUGUCAUCAGCGUUGGCAUAAAAGACGAGAGCAGCUACACGGUAACGAGCAACCGUUUCAGUGCAAGGAAUGUGGCAAGGUUUUUACUUCCUUAACAUUCUACAAUAAACACCAGAGAUUGGCUCAUAGUCAAGAAACGCCAGCCAAGAGUUUCCUUCACCAAGUCUUUCAGCUCCAGAAGAAAGCUUUCGAAUGUCAGGAAUGUGGUCGGCGAUUUUCUCGCGCUUCUGCACUGCAGUCACAUCAGCUCUGUCACACCGAUGUUUUUGGUGACAUCAUGGAGGGAAGUUCUCAAAAGUCUUCUACGGAACCAAAAGUCGAGUCAUACGAGGACGAGGUGUCUCCGUUUGCCGAAGCUUCAGCGUAUUCGGAAAACGACGUUUUGGUGAAAGAAUUAAGACAUGAUGGAACAUUUAGCACAAAAGUUUAUAAAGCAGACAACAAUUUUAAACCCGUCAUCAUAGAAGCCUCUGAUAGUCUUAGGCGUGACCAUGGCUCUCAGCAAAACUCGGAUCUUGAGCUGGUCUGUGAAUCAGACCAAGAAGAAAAAGACUUUAGCUUGAACUUAUCCAAAGAAACUGUACUGUCUUCUCCGAGCUCAGAUCCGGAGAUGGAUGUAAACGUAGUACAGAUAGACAAUGUGAAUUUCGGCGAGGGAUUAGGAGAACCAGAAAUGGACCAAAGCUCUUCACAAGAGGCUAAGAAGUAUGAAUGUUUGGAAUGUAACCGGACGUUUGAUAAGGCCGUUUCCUUGCGCUGUCACAUGCUAUGGCACAGUGGAGGAAUGGGGAAAAAGUCACGCUACCGUAGAAAAAUGCACAUAGCAAAUCCAAUCAGGAAAGCUUCGAUUACAUGUGAGACUUGUGGCCAUGAAAGUUUCACCAAGGCUUCUCACUACGUUCAUCUGGGAAAACACGAAGACAGAAAACCCUACAAGUCCAUAAUGUAUCAGCUUGCAAAUCUGCAGAAAAACAGCUUCAAGUGUGACAUAUGUAACAUGCAUUUUUCUCGCCUCUCUGCUCUGCAGUCUCAUCAGCAGCAUCACAACAAAAGGAAAAAACCAUAUGAAUGCUCACAGUGUGACAAAAGCUAUUCCAACCUCAGUACUCUUUACAGCCAUCAGAAAGUUUGCAGCGGUAAGGAAGCCCUUACCGCCAAUUCUUCCAGCGAUAAAGACAAUAAGAAGGAGCAGUUUAAUCCAAGUAAGACACUAUUGGGGCCCAAAGUUCAUCAUUGUAAAAAAUGUGGGAAAGGAUUCUGGUCUAUGGGAGCCUUCUAUCAUCAUAAACAGUAUCAUCCACAAUGUGGAGAUAUUAACACUAGCAGCUCAGAAGCCAAACUCAAAUCUGAAAACGGACACGUAAGACGCAAGAGACGGGGUCGUAAGAGAAUUAUGAUGAACAGUCACAAUCGUAAACCUUGCGUAAUGCCCGAUCGCGUCAAAUCGAGGUUGUAUAAAUGUGACGUUUGCGAUAAAUCGUAUCGUGUUAUAGGCUGUUUUCUUAAACAUAAGCUGAUCCACCAAAACCAAGCUGCAGUAAAAUCAUUUGACGAUCAGGUUAAACAGUUGCAAAAGAACAUGUAUAGCUGUCCUGACUGUGGGAAAAACUUCUCCCGUGCCAUGGCACUUCAGUUCCACAUGAGAAGCCAUGGCUAUGAAACAGGCCUUCCGGUGGAAACGAAUCAGUCCAACAAGUCCGACGGACCCCAGUGCCCGAUCUGCCACGCUGUUUUCAAUUGCGAGUCGUCGUUAGAAAUUCAUCAAAAACGCUGCUUAAAAGCAAAAGGCGAAAGUAAAGAAACGUGUCAAGAAGUGGAAUUGGACAAGCUCGGCCUCCCCAAAGACACGUCUGAAAAAGUGAAAUAUGCAUGCGAUGACUGUGACAAAAGCUUUUCGGCUGUAGGUGCACUUAAUUUUCAUAAAAAAAUUCACCGUAAAGCUCCCAGUUCCAUGGAGUCUCAGUUUGAAUGUGUAAAUGCUUCCCCUAGCAAACCUGAAGAAUCAACAACCAGGGCUCCGUUUUAUUGUACAGAAUGCGGAAGGAAAUUUUCUACAAAUUCUGCCCUCGGAACACACCGGAGAUGGCAUAAAGACAAGAAAUUGGCCAGGUUUAUAUUAAAGAGUAGUAAAAUGUCAAGGAAGAAUAUGGAGAACGGUCCGUUUUUGUGUAACUUGUGUGGAAAGGGAUUCUUCUAUCUAUGCGUUCUCCGUCGGCAUCAGAAAUAUCAUCCACCGAUAGUGGCCCGGGCUGACCCCGAGCAAAAUCAUCUCAGCAGUGCUUCUAAAAAGAGCAGGUUAGAUUGCCCUGACUGUGAUGCAUCUUUCUUUAGUGGAUCUCUCUUAGCAGCCCACUUUGCCUUCCAUCAUGCCAAGCCACCUGAUGCUGAAACUAAGCAACAGGUGUCAGCUCAACCUGUCAUACUCCUCGCAAAUCCACCCAAAGCUAUAACGUCGGCUGGCGGAGGAGACAAGCCGAAAAUAAAAUACCACUGCGUCCAGUGUAACAAGAAAUUUGUAAAUGCUAGAGGUCUUCGAGCGCACAAAUGGCAAAAACACAGGAGGACCAGAGGACGACCACCCGCGAGCAUGAAUGAAGAGUUUAAACCCUUUCCUUGCUCACAUUGUGAGAAGCGCUAUGGAUCUCACGGAGCCCUACAGAACCAUCAGCGCUCCUGCAACGCAAACAACGGAAGUCUGAAACAGCCACACCAACCAGACGUAGAAGAAGAGCAACCAUUACAGCAUAAGCCUUUAGAGUCGAAGUGUCUCUUCAAAUGUCAUAAAUGUGGUAAAGCGUUUCCCAGCGAGAAACAACUGGAUGCUCAUAAAGAGGCAGCAAAGACACGCCCUCACUGCUGUGCUCUGUGUUGUCGAGGCUAUUGGACUGAAUCUCAGCUACAGCAGCAUCUCAUUUGGCACGACGAAGUACGGCAACGUCUCCCGACCGAACUUCGUUACAGGCUUAACAACUCCGUAGUGUCGGGAUCUUCAACUAAAGGUCUUCAGGUCCCAAGCACAAACUGUGUAUCCGCAGCAAAACAACCUUCAACUGAAACAAAUUUGAAUGUGGGCAGAAAUUACAAAUGUCACCAGUGCAACAAAAUGUUUCUUUCCCCACAUGCACUCGAGGUGCACCAGACUCUCCACAAGGGUGUGGAGCCUUAUCGGUGUUCUCUUUGUCCAAAGACAUUUACUGAGAUCAAAGAUCUCAUUGAUCAUCACCAAGAGUGUUUGGGUGAUAAAGAAAUAACAGCCCCAGCUUUACCAGCUGCUUCUCAAGAUACAGAGAGCCUGACAUGCAUCGAGUGUGGGAUUUCUUUCAAUCAAGAAACAGACUUGCACCAGCAUUACAUUGAUCACGCACGUGGAGAGUUCUGAAAGCUGCGCGUCAAUACGCCCGAGGUUGUGCAUAUCAAUUUGGCUGUUUUGGAUUUCAAUCACCAAGGAAAUAGAAAAUUUGGCAGAACUUUCAGGUUUCGUGUAUCAAGGGGACUGCUCAUGGGAAUUUACCAGGUGAACCAUAAAUUUGGAGCAACAACUUUUUUUUUUUUUUAAGCUUUUGUAGCUUUUUUUUCUCUCCCAGAUGCUGUAAACAGUUUGCAUUUGUUCUGUGUAGUAGCAUAUGCUCACAGUGUUCCUUCUCACAGACAGUUAUUUUCCAAUAGCUAUGUUUCAUGACCUUUCCUACUCUGGGGUAAAAAUCUGAGUACAUACCCAAGUCAUGUGUUUACUGAUUAUGCCUUAAAGCUUGAACUUUAUUUGUUUCAAAAUGCUUUUAAAUUAUUCAUUGCAUAGUCAUUUUUAUACAUUGGAUUCUGUGAAUUAGCAUUAAAAUGAAUGUAGAUAUGACUGCAAUUCACAUAUAGUAUCUUUUCAUAAAGUGAUUACCUGUAUGUAUUUAGACCUGUUUUUCCCCCCUGCCUUUCACAAUGUUUCCCCCCUGCCUUUCACACUGCCUUUUUCCCCCCUGCCUUUCACAAUGUUGAAUGACAUUAGAAUAGCCAUCUCUUACAGAGACACAAAUGAUGUGCAAGUUGUCUUUGUUGGAAAGGAAUUCUAUUGUAGUGUAUUUAAAAACAUGAAAUGAUUGUAUGGAAAUGAGUGAAUAAAUCUGUGAAUAGUC